UGCUUAUCGAGAAAGACCGAGGGAAGGGCCCUGCGACGUCUUAGCAACCUGAAUCAACAAGGUGCUAACUCCCAUUCUGAAAUUAGUUCAGAAAAAGAUGAGCG
rnacentral:ncRNA from 1 species